AUGCUACAGCGGUUGUUUCAACAGAGACGUGAGGGGUGUCACGGCCUUAGGUUUUCAGCAGCGAGGUUUUUGGAGCUUUUUGCAGGUUGGGAUAUAGCAUUAUGGACUGGUUAUGAGCAAGGCAGCAGUGGUAUAGCAAGGCUUUGGAGCAGUAAGAAGGCUGAUAUGCUAAGUUUUGGCCUGUUAUGUUUGUCUUAUGGCUGCAAAAUUAUGGACAAGGAGAUGUCACAAUUUGACUGUUUAUUUGGCAUUAUACAGGAGCUGGAAUUUUGCAGCAAAGUCUACAAGGUUGUUGAAGGCAAUAUGUGGCAUGAAUUUUGGAUCAAGAACAAGUCUUAG